CGAACGCUGGCGGCAGGCCUAACACAUGCAAGUCGAACGAAGUCUUCGGACUUAGUGGCGCACGGGUGAGUAACACGUGGGAAUAUACCUUUCGCUGGGGGAUAACGUCGGGAAACUGACGCUAAUACCGCAUACGCCCUACGGGGGAAAGAUUUAUCGGCGAGAGAUUAGCCCGCGUCCGAUUAGCUAGUUGGUGAGGUAACGGCUCACCAAGGCGACGAUCGGUAGCUGGUCUGAGAGGAUGAUCAGCCACACUGGGACUGAGACACGGCCCAG
rnacentral:rRNA from 1 species